rnacentral:lncRNA from 1 species
AGAGGAACCAAAAAAGAGCAGGUGACAGUGGGUUCAGAGGCACAGAUAUAAGAAAGGAGCUGGCAGGCAGGAGUGUAAAUUAGUUCCUGGUGGUCCAGAAAAAUCCAGCAGUUUCAUACUUCUUGGUGCUGAGGCUUGGGCAGGAAAAGGAGGUGAGUUCAUUGGCUGUGUGUAACCUGGAUGUUGAGACCUUGGGGAACAUGAGCUUAAUCACACUUGAGCUGAUUUUAUUUCUGAUCAUACUGCAAAACAUUGCUAUAUGGGCUCGCAUGGGCCUCGUACAGGCUCACAAGGGCCUCGUAUGGGCUCGUGCGGGCCUCUACGGGCUCACUCAGGCCUCCUACAGGCUUGCACGGGCUCGCACGGACCUCCUACGGGCUCGUGUGGGGCUCCAUGGGCGCACACAGGCCUCUACGUGCCUCUACGGGCGCGCACGGGCCUCUAUGGGCUUGCACGGGCACGCAUGGGGGCUCAUCCGGGCUCGCACAGGUGCGCAUGGGCCUCAUCCGGGCUUGUAAGGGCUCGCGCAGGCUUCCUAUGGACUCGUAUGGGCUCGCACGGGCCUCCACGGGCUCGCAUGGGCUCAUAUUGGCCUCUACAGGCUCGCAGGGGCUUGCACAGGCCUCCUAUGGGCUCUCAGGGGCCUCCUAUGGGCUCGUAUGGGCUUGUGUGGGUCUCCAUGGGCUCGCACGGGCCUCCUAUGGGCUCGUACGAGCUCGUGCGAGUCACCACGAGCUCACACAAGCUUGCACGGGCCUCCACGGGCUCGUACGGGCUUGUGAGUGCCUCCAUGGGCUCGCCCAAACUAGCAUGGGCCUCUAUGGGCUCACACAGGCCUCCUACAGGCUUGUACAGGCUCACAUGGGCCUCCACGGGCUCGCACAAGCUCGCACAGGCCUCUACGGGCUCGCAGAGGCGUCCUACGGGCUCUUACGGGCUUGCACGGACCUCUACAGGAUCGCACAAGCUUGCAUGGGCCUCUACGGGCUCGCAGAGGCCUCCUACGGGCUCGUACGGGCUCGCACAAUCUCGCACAGGCCUCUACGGGCUCGCACAAGCUCGCAUGGGCCUCUACGGGCUCGCACAGGCCUCCUAUGGGCUGGUAUGCCCCCUAGUGCACUCUGGACUACUUUUUCAGCUUUCUUCUGUGCCCCAGAGCUGUCCUCUGGCCCUCCACACCCUGCACAACCUCUCUUGUCCCUCCACACCCUUUAGCAGCCCUCUCUUCUGCUCUGGCCCCCUCCUUCCACCUUUUUCUUUUUUUUUUUUUUUUUUUGAUGUGGCGCAGCAGUUGGAGUGCCUGAGGGAGAUGGAGGAAGAAAGGGUCAUUGUCAGAGUGGGAGACGGACCUGGAGUAACGAUGAGUCUCAAUGUGAGUAUGAUCAUUCUCCCUUUAUUCAAGCUUUUACAGAGUGUAUAUAUAGACAGGCAAUAAGAGCAUGUGAUAGUGAUAGCUAUAUGAUUGGCUCACAAUCUUUGUUCACGCGCCUAGAGCGGACAUAUGAUUGGUGCAGGCUUGCUGUUCAUGUGGAGAGGUCUGUUGACUUGUUUACCUCCUUGUAGCUUCCUUCUUUUGUGCUGUUCAAGGACAGCUCGCAUAGAUGUGGCAUCCUUCCUCCAUCGUGAAGACAGGAUUGCUCACUUCUAAGAGAUCAUGCCCCUUUUCAGUUAACCAUUCUUCCACAGGUCAUGCCCUAGGAAGGUGAGCUAGAGAGUUGUUGCUGGAAGCAGAGUGUUGUGGUCAGCAGUUUCCUGGUUAAUUUUUGCUUUGUGCUUAUAGGUGUGGAGCAACGUGGAGAGUGGGUCGCUUGCAUGCAGGAGGAGCACGGCAAGGUGAGUGUCGGUCUGAGAGCGGUAGCAGAGCCUAGCAUAGGGCUGUUGUCUCAUUGGUGCUGUCC